AUUGAACGCUGGCGGCAGGCCUAACACAUGCAAGUCGAGCGAGCGGCGGACGGGUGAGUAAUGUAUGGGAAACUGCCCGAUGGAGGGGGAUAACUACUGGAAACGGUAGCUAAUACCGCAUACUAUCAGAUGACCCCAGAUGGGAUUAGCUAGUAGUUGGGGUAAUGGCUCACCUAGGCGACGAUCCCUAGCUGGUCUGAGAGGAUGACCAGCCACACUGGGACUGAGACACGGCCCAGACUCCGACGGGAGGCAGCAGUGGGGAAUAUUGCACAAUGGGCGCAAGCCUGAUGCAGCCAUGCCGCGUGUAUGAAGAAGGCCUUCGGGUUGUAAAGCACUUUCAGCGGGGAGGCGUUACCCACAGAAGAAGCACCGGCUAACUCCGUGCCAGCAGCCGCGGUAAUUC
rnacentral:rRNA from 1 species